rnacentral:ncRNA from 1 species
GGGAGCCGGAUGCAACGAAAGUCGCACGUCCGGUUCUAAAUGAGAGGGGCGGGGAAUAAUAUCCCCCCUCGACUCAAC